AGAGCAAGAGAGGCCGCGGAAGGCCCAGGAAAGUGGAGAUAGCGCUAGAAGAAAAAGUAAAAGAUGGGAAGAGCAAGAGAGGCCGCGGAAGGCCCAGGAAAGUGGAGAUAGGGCUAGAAAAAGUUGAAGAUCGGGAAAGCAAGAGAGGCCGCGGAAGGCCCAGGAAAGUGGAGAUAGGGCUAGAAGAAAAAGUAAAAGAUGGGAAAAGCAAGAGAGGCCGCGGAAGGCCCAGGAAAGUGGCGUUAGAGCCAAAAGAAAAGGUAGAAGAUCGGAAAAGCAAUAGAGGCCUUAGAAGCCCUAGAAAUAUUGUUUCAGGGCCUGAAAAAAAAUUAACAGAUCAAAACAAAAAAGGCCUUGGUAGGCAGAAGAAUUCUGUUGCCAGACAGUUAGAAAGAAAUGACUUGAACCAAAAAAAAGGCCGAGCCCGAGGGAGACCUCGUAAAGAUAUAUUCGAAAAAAAAAUUAAUUCAAAUGAUUUUCAGGUAAAAAUUACUCUAACAAGAAAUAAGAAAAAUAGCAGCAGUAGCCAUACGAAUGCUGGAGAAGGAAGGCUCGCAAAAUAUUUUAAGAAUCUUGAUUUACGUGGAAUAUCUAAUGAAAAGUGUCACUUGGCUGUCAACAGGUCAUUAGACUUGCUUAUUGUUAUUCCUUUGAAUGAUGUUUAGAAUUUAUGAAGCAAGACAUUUUAUAAGUUUUUUUUUUAUCAUUUACUAAGGAAAUCAGCUGUGAAGUAAUAAGUUGUUCAAGGAUAUUUCGAGACAAUUUAUCCUAUUAAUUAUUGUAAAUAAUUUCAUAAUUAUAAUAGAUGGCCUAAAUCUGCAGUCACUGGAUGCAGUACUUAAGUUUGAGAAGGAUAGUUGCUGGAUCUCUUCUUGAUAAAGAUUCCAAGGUAUUACUGCAGAUUGUAUUUGAUAUUAUUUGUGGAAAGGCGUUCAGAUGAUGCUAUCCAACUUAUGGAAAGAACAGGCAGCCACCUCUAAAAUGUGUAGAGAUAUUCCAGAGUUGGGUAAAGCCCUUCAUCACAUUAAGCGUCUAACAACGGAAAUGGCCUAAAUCUGCAGUCACUGGAUGCAGUAAUGUUUGAAGGAUAGUUGCUGGAUCUCUGCUUGAUAAAGAUUCCAAAGUAAGUGGCUCUACCUUAGAAAAUGCACUUCCAAUUCUGCUUAUUUACUAUAAGAUUCAGGGCCUUUGUAACACGGUUUUUUCGCAAUAACUUUUUAUCUAUGCAUUUCAAGAAUA